rnacentral:rRNA from 1 species
AUUGAACGCUGGCGGCAUGCCUUACACAUGCAAGUCGAACGGUAACAGGUCUUCGGAUGCUGACGAGUGGCGAACGGGUGAGUAAUACAUCGGAACGUGCCUAGUAGUGGGGGAUAACUACUCGAAAGAGUGGCUAAUACCGCAUGAGAUCUACGGAUGAAAGCAGGGGAUCGCAAGACCUUGUGCUACUAGAGCGGCCGAUGGCAGAUUAGGGAGUUGGUGGGAUAAAAGCUUACCAAGCCGACGAUCUGUAGCUGGUCUGAGAGGACGAUCAGCCACACUGGGACUGAGACACGGCCCAGACUCCUACGGGAGGCAGCAGUGGGGAAUUUUGGACAAUGGGCGCAAGCCUGAUCCAGCAAUGCCGCGUGCAGGAUGAAGGCCUUCGGGUUGUAAACUGCUUUUGUACGGAACGAAAAGCCCUGGGUUAAUACCCUGGGGUCAUGACGGUACCGUAAGAGUAAGCACCGGCUAACUACGUGCCAGCCGCCGCAGUAA